rnacentral:ncRNA from 1 species
UGACCCCGCGCGGGAGAGUCCUCCAGGAAUGAUCCGGAGGCGCCGAAGGAGCAAAUCCUCCCCGGAAUCUCUCAGGCACACGUACCGCACGGACGAG